rnacentral:lncRNA from 1 species
AUAGGCAAUUCAACAUCUCUGUCUUGCCUUGACCUAACGGAAUGCCAUAAACUUGCUCAACUUCCAGACUCUAUAGGCUUCCUCGUGUAUCUACCACGGUUGUUAUUGUCGGGAUGCCACUCAUUGAGACAAAUCCCAGACUUGAUCGGAAAGUUGACAUCAUUGAUAGAGCUGCAUUUGAAAUCUACGGCCAUUGAAGAAUUACCUGAAUCCAUCGGUUCUUUGAAGGAGCUCAAGAUUCUAGAUGCCUCUUAUUGCAAAUCGUUAGCCCACAUACCCAACUCAAUAGGCAAUUUAACAUCUCUGUCUCACCUUGACCUAAAUGAAUGCCAAAAACUUGCUCAACUUCCAGACUCCAUAGGCUCCCUUGUGUGCUUGCCGCGGUUGUUAUUGUCGGGAUGCCACUUGUUGAAACAAAUUCCAGACUCGAUCGGAAAGUUGACAUCAUUGACUGAGCUACAUUUGAAAUGUACGGCCAUUGAAGAAUUACCUGAAUCUAUUGGUUCUUUGAAGGAGCUCAAGACUCUAGAUGCCUCUUAUUGCAAAUCGUUAGCCCAUAUACCCAACUCAAUAGGCAAUUUAACAUCUUUGUCUUCCCUUGACCUGAAUGAAUGCCAAAAACUUGCUCAACUUCCAGACUCCAUAGGCUCCCUCGUGUCCUUGUUGCGGUUGUUAUUAUCGGGAUGCCAUUCGUUGAAACAAAUUCCAGACUCGAUCGGAAAGUUGACAUUAUUGAUUGAGUUACAUUUGAAAUCUACGCCAUUGAAGAAUUACCUAAAAGCAUUAANNNNNNNNNNNNNNNNNNNNNNNNNNNNNNNNNNNNNNNNNNNNNNNNNNNNNNNNNNNNNNNNNNNNNNNNNNNNNNNNNNNNNNNNNNNNNNNNNNNNNNNNNNNNNNNNNNNNNNNNNNNNNNNNNNNNNNNNNNNNNNNNNNNNNNNNNNNNNNNNNNNNNNNNNNNNNNNNNNNNNNNNNNNNNNNNNNNNNNNNNNNNNNNNNNNNNNNNNNNNNNNNNNNNNNNNCAAUCCUGCAUUCCUGAAUUUUUCUCACUAAACUUUCUCAAGAGACUCACUCUUUCUAACUGGCUUAAAUGUCUCUCAAACCUUUCUAUAACAUGUUAUAGAAAAGCUAUGAAACUUGAUUUUGUAUCUUACAAAAGUUCGAGCUGUUAGUUGGGCAUUUUAUUUACCUUUUGUCUUGUGAUACAGUUCUCUUAAAGCGUUUCAAGACUCCUCCUGCCAACAACUUAGCCAUGGACUACCAAACAACAGAUGAACAUCCUUUGAAGAGAUCAAAACCUUUUGGAAUCUCAAAUGAAGUACUUAUUUCAUUUUGCUUUUUCUUUGCCGUUCUUCAGUUAUUAAAGGAUGGUUCCAUCUACAAAGAGAAGUAUUUUACUGAAUGAUCAAUUAUUUGUUAUGUGUGGAAUGCUUUGAUCAACAUUCGUAACUAGAUCCAUCAAACUUGUUACAUUCUCGCUAUUUUAAGUCUUUUGUUCUGGAAGUAGGGAUUUUAGUUUUCUUGAAUUAUGAAGUUAAGGUGGAAUAUAUUGCCCGUUCUCUUGUGUUUCUCUCUCUUAAUUAUCUUUAUUUGCACGCCAUUGAUCGAAAACUUUUUGAAAGCGCACUCAUUUGGGUGCUAUUGCGGCAUAUGAUCAUGCAUUGAGAAUCUUCACGAGUGUAGGGGUUAUCUCACAUCAGUUGUGGAAGGAAAAAGUAGUUAGUUUAUAAUUGUGAUGGAAAGUCUCAUCCUUUAAGUUAGCUUUUAAGAUGAGAUAAGCCCAAGACCACCCAACAAAAAAAAACUUUUAGUUUUGAGGUUUCUAGAUACCCUUAAUCUUCAUGAUGUUAACCUAAUGAAAUUAUUGAAGAUUGGAAGGAUAACAAGAAAGUUUGAUGGAGAGAGAAAGGAGCAAAAGGGCUAGGGUUGUCAAUUUGUGUCCUCUUGUCAUAAUUGUGUUUGUGAUUGUGUCAAUUCAUCAUGACUUCUAUUAGACAUGUCAACCCAUUGAAUUAGAUGAAAACAUGUAAAUAUCUCAUCAAGUUAAAUGUAUCGUGAUGUGUCAUAUUGGGUUGUGUUUGUGUUUUUCGUGUUUGGUAUUGUUAUGUAAACAGUAUGUGUCACUAUUGGCAGCAUUAAUGAGAAGCGUGGACUGGAUAGGUGUUGAUUAUGUCUCCUCCCAUCAUGCAUGCAUUGUGCUCACGUAUGCUAGUACAAGAGGGGCUCUCAUAUGAGUCUUUUGCAUCUUUUGAGUGCCAUGGUUUUGAUCAAUUUUCUAAAGGACUCAUUAGUUUUGUAAUCUUCAUGACUUUCUAAUAGGUGAAUAAUUUGCCGGGAAAGAUUUUUCCCAUUACAUACAACUACCAGAGCUUUGGUCAGAGUUCUUAUUCUUCAGAUGACUUGCCUAGAAAUGUAGUCGUUACCCUAAGUCAUGAUUCACUUGUUAAAAGUAUGGAUUUCCAUCCAGUGCAACAAAUUCUACUGCUCGGUUAGCACUUCUUUCUUACUCUAUGAAGAACUUGUUUCUUGAUCUUCUUUAGUUGGAUAUACUUGUUGGCCAUAAGUUUGUGUUUUGGUGCUUGGAAGAUUCCUGUUUGUUGUUUUUUAUGCUCGCUUCAGCUAUUUGAAACCAAGGGAUAUGAUUCUUCAAAUUUUCUGCAUCAAUAAUUUUUAGUGGGAACAAAUACGGGUGAUGUCAUGGUAUGGGAAGUAAGCAACCGUGCAAGGAUUGCUUUGAGAAAAUUCAAGGUUUGGAAUUUGGGAACACGUUCAAUGGCGUUGCAGGUAUAUAAGUUCCACUCUAAAUAAAGUCAUGUAUCUUGUUUUUGGACAUGUAAUUGGGGGUUUUGAUUCUUUGUAGGCUUCUCUAGCCAAUGACUAUACAGCAUCCAUUAAUCGUGUAACGUGGAGUCCUAAUGGACUUUAUUUUGGUAUGUACAGAUGUCACUUCUACUUGUCUUAUUGCAAAUUGAUGAAACAACUAACGCGCUGAGAAUGAGACUUCAUUGCAAUAUUUUCAGGAAAAAUGUUCAUAUGCUGCUAUUACUGAUGAUUUGUGGUGUUCACUUUAGGUGUUGCUUAUUCCAAACACAUGGUGCACAUAUACUCGUAUUACGGUGGUGAUGACAUGAGGAACCACCUUGAGGUUUGUUGCUAAACAAGGAGUGAAAAAAUUCGGCUUCUUUUUGUAGACAAUUGCCACAUAAAAGUGAGUAAAACUUGAUUUUGACUCUAAACUAAUGUUUGAUACAGCUCGAGGCUCAUGCUGGAAGUGUUAAUGAUCUUGCCUUUUCAUAUCCAAACAAAUGGUUAUGCGUUGUGACCUGUGGAGAGGACAGGUCAAUCAAGGUAUAUCUUGAUUAUUUUCCUCAGUGUUGCAGCGUUCCAUCGUUUGAUCCCUUAACUAAGCUAGUAGUUUUGUAGGUAUGGGAUGUAAUGACUGGGGCUAAGCAAUACUGUUUCAAGGGUCAUGAAGCACCUGUAUAUUCUAUUUGUCCACACCAUAAAGAAAAUAUCCAGGUACUUGAUUAUUUCACGUACUAACAAAGACACCCUGCGAGCAUGGCCAAUCAGAUGUACCCUUGACUAUACACUAGACUUUUGUUUUCUAAAACUCAGUUAGGUAAAAAAAAAAUUGGUUCAAUUUGUAUGAGGAGUAUGAACCUAUGUUUUGAAGGACCUUGUUCAUUUCAAGGGUUUUGCAAGUCUUCCGACUUUUAACCUGUCUUGAUUAGAAUGUGCUUGUCAAACAUGGUGAAAUUGGUCCAAAGAUCAACCUACUAAUUUGAUUCUUUCAAGUAAUGCUACUAAGCAUCGACAACUAGGUAAAGGUCUUUGCAAUAAUGACUUCCUGCUUAAUUAUAUAUUCAAAAAGAAAAUUCCUCUACUACCAUUGAUUGUUCUCCCUUAGUUUUCUCUUUUAGUCACGAUUGGUUAAAUUUAUAAUAGAAGGCUGUUUAUUGUGUUUGAGUGGAGCAGCAAUUGGCAAUGUUAUCUUCUUCUUCUUCUUCUUUUUAAACAUUUAUGGUUGUGCAUAGUGUACACUUUAUUACAAAGAUGUCUUAUGAAAUCUCAUCAUUCUAGGAUGCUAUGUUUAAAUAAUUAUAGUUUAAGUGGAUGUGCUCUAUUUGGGCAUGUUACUGAAAUUGGUUAUACAAUUGUUUUAUCGUGUAGUUCAUCUUCUCAAUAGCAACAGAUGGGAAAAUUAAGGCUUGGCUUUAUGACAACAUAGGGUCAAGAAUUGACAACGAUGCACCGGGUCACUCUUCUACCGUGAUGGCAUACAACGCCGAUGGAAAAAGGUUUAGACCAUCAGCAUUGUAUAUCAAGCUUGAUUUCAUCCCGAGUCUUUCUUUUUCACUGAAAUAACCUAUUUUAGCGAUUUUAAUUUGCUAUAGGUUGUUCUCGUGUGGGACCAAUAAAGAAGGAGAGUCAUACUUGGUUGAAUGGAAUGAAAGUGAGGGGGGUAUCAAGCGUACAUAUCAUGGACUUGGAAAGAGUUCUAGUGGGGUUGUGCAGUUUGAUACCAUCAAAAAUAGAUUUUUGGCUACUGGUGACGAGUUCAUUAACAAAUUUUGGGAUAUGAACAAUGAUAGCCUACUUACAAGUACCGAUGCUGAUGGUGGAUUGCUGGUAAUUCACUGUUGUUAAUUUAUUUUGACUGAAUUAACUGAAACUUUCUAUUAAUUACCUCACUCUUUAAAUUUGCAGGCUUCACCUUGUAUUAGAUUUAACAAGGAAGGAAUCCUGUUAGCCGUCUCAACAAGUGAUAAUAGCAUCAAAAUUCUAGCAAAUUCAUUUGGGAUUGAGCUGCUAAGGACUGCAGAAAAACAUAUGCUUCUAGAGUCACUGCUAGGAGUCUUUUGAAGGUAAGCUUUUUUAACAAUACACUAACUUUAUGUAAAGAAGUCACUACUAGUCCAUUGUGGUCGGCUAAAACCCAAGGACUUGAUUACACUAGUUAUUUAAUUAAUGCUCUUUCAGUACCUAGACUUGAUUUAACUAAGUGUCCAUGCAGUCUUGGACCCUUUUAUUGACCUAUGCCACUUAAUUGGUGUCCAUGCAUGAGUGCACAAUAAAGGAAAAGUAAACAAUCAUUAUUAAUUCAACAAAAGUAAAGUAUAAGAAAAUACACCUAAUGAAGUGCCAAGCGAAGAAUACACAUGGCUUUGUUUUUAAGCCUCAAGACAACAACCUUGUAAGCUAAAUUCAAAUUAAGUCCAAUUCCUUUUCUCAAACACUAUUCUAUGUAACCUCACCUAAAUCAAAGGCACUCAUUAAAAUCUCUAAACCAUAUGUAGAGUAACUAAAACUAGAAGAAACUAAGCUACAUCUAGCACUAAAACUUAACGACCUAAUCAAGGUCUUUGUUAUUAACCAUUUUCCAAUUUUUCAUAUUUUCGAUUUUUUUUGAAAAUUUAAUUUUAAUUAUUUUCUGAAAAUAGGAAAUCGGGCCGGGCCCUUGGGCCUGGUCCGGAUAUGAGCCUCAUACUGGUCUCACGAAUCUGGGCUAAUGGACAAAAUUCGGGCUAUUAUAUCCAGAUCCAUCCAAUUCUAACUCUACUGAGCCCAAUUCAGAUUAUACCUAUUUUAAGCCCAUUUACCCAUGGAAGCUACUCUAGCUCACUUUCUCAUCUAACUGCACCAAGUCCAUCUUUAAGCCCAAUUUCUAUUACAAAUAGAUUAAACCCUAAGCCCACGCCAACCCUAUCUUACUAUUAUUAUUUUUAAUCCAUUUUUUCCUCUUUUCUUACAUCUUUCGUCAUUUUUUAUUAUUAUAAAAGUAAUCAAUGUUAGGUGUGCGAAGAGCCCCCCCUUUUUUUUAAGAGACUACCUGGUAAACUUUCCUGCAGUAACUUAAGCUAUAAAGGAUGGGUGAUGUAGCUUUUGUAAGGUCUUUGACAAAUAUUUCACAACUUUUUAGGAAAUUGCUUCGCCCGAUUUUGGGAUGUUGGAGCUGCUGUCGACGGCAUUGGGAAACAAUUUGGUAAAAGAAGUUGAAUUAACCUUCCAGCAAAGAAUUAUAAAGUGGAGAUGGUCAAUGGCAUUGGGAAACAAUUUGGUAAAAGAAGUAUUUCUAAGAGGUAUAAUAAGUCAGAACUCAACAAAAACGUCAGUGGAAGUGUUCAAUCAUGAAGAAGAAGAAGAAGCAAAACACCAUUCACUAAGGGAUAACUCGUGCACGCAGAAGGGAGGAAGCAGGGGAAAAUGGCUCCAUCUUCCAUCGUCUCCAGUCACCAUUGGAUAACCUUUCGUCGCGGUGUCUCAAGUUCCGAUAUAGCCGCUAGCUACCAUCGCCGUUCAUUACGAGUUCCAACUCCUUCGUUGGUUGCGCCGUCGACCAUCAGUCUCAGGAGGAUCACGUUUGUUCAUUUCAUCGCGAGCACCAUUCCAGAACCAAAACAAACAAAAACAUCGAGCAAGGAAAAUUCAUCUAAAAAAAGCGAUUCCGUUCGAUUCAGUUGGCGAUUUCAAGCGUUCUGAAUCGAUCACAGUGGCCGUCGCCGGCAUCAACAGCCUCUUCAAUGCCGCGACUCAUCUCCUUCGUUUCCCUUCAACGGCCGAGAGCUUCGAAAUGUUGUCGUUCCGCUCGAAGCUUCUCCACCUGUUCAGGUUUCGAUCAUCGACACGUUCUAGAGCUUCUUUCAGCGAUUCGUGCGCCAAACCGCGGCCUCAGUCCACUUGAUUAAGCAGGUAGCAUCUCCUGUUCUGUUGUCACGAGUAAGAGGCCGAGAGUCUGAUUCUCUUAUUAUGAUGAAAUUGAUCAUAUUUGAAUUUUUUUCUUUGACUUCGAACAUCAUGUACUGAUUUAGGUUGAGUCUAGUUGUAAAUUCGAGUUCGAAAUGGCUUUGAUAUGUUCCACAACCGAUUGACCAUAAUCUGUUCGAUGAAAUGUGUCUGAGACCCUGUUGUGAAUUGAUUCCAGUAAUCGUCCGAUCUGAAAAAGCGCAUUAGUGAUGUUCACUUGAUAUUGUUUGAUUUUUCAAUCUUUAGACAUGAUUACGAGUAUAUGCCAUAGUUGCCAAGAAUAAAACUGACUCUCCGCAUGUUUUCUCAGUGCUUCUUGUGAUCCUUUGGUGAUAGGUGGUGGUUGCCGGCAAGGGGAGAUGGAAUGGAGUCGCUGGCACAUGCAUUAGUCUUUGGUGAUGAUCGUAGCAUGCCCUGUUGAACAGAAUCGAGACGAUGUCGCUGAGCGUUAAUCGCCAAUUCAGAUAAUGAACUGCGGCCGACACAUGUUGCGGUCACUAACGGGAGCAAUGUUAUGCCUAGUCACUAUCCGCGUCCUUGCCACUGAGUCACCGUGCAAUCUCCUCGACUGCCAAGCUUUGCUUCAGUCCAUGCCUUGCAGACCAUCCUUGCCAUUGCAAUUGCUGUGCCACACCUUACCAUAAUGGCUAUUCAAGUGAACUCCGCAUGCGAUAGCACUGCCAUCAGAAUAAACCGCCAUACAUUACCAUUAUGGAUUGAUGUGGCAAUAGAGCUAUAUCCAUCACGUGUCUUUACAAUCGGUUGUUUCCGUUCCAACUGAGUUUUAGAGUCCAUUGUAUGUUCAGAUUUCCUUCGCUGCUUUGUUUUAAUGUUCAGGAUUUUGCGAGUCUUCUUAAACCGAAUCAUGGGAAAACUAAAUGGUUCGAAGUCCAGUCGUCAUGGGGUCGAUACUUUGUUGUAAAAUCAUUGUGCAUUACCUGCUUCCUGAUUCUUGUCUUGUCCUUUGGUUAUUGGUUACUUCACCUUCGUUGAUUUCAUUGUCCGGAAGUAGGUAAUCAAUCCAAGAGCACCUGCUAAAAUUGCAUUUUAGUUGUGUCAUCUGCUUCCUGCCUCAUUCUCUGUGAAUGACAUUCUACUUCUUGCGUGCUGUUGAGGGAAAUCAAUGGUUGACAAUCGAUAUGAAGUGAGCAAGUUAUACUUGUUUCCUGUCUUUAGUUGAUAACUUUUUGCGUAUGACAAUCGAUUAAUUAAACCAGUCCAUAGCUUGCACGAAAAUAGUAAAUGAGGAUUUACUUCUUUCUUGGAAUUAUCAAUGUCAUCGCUUUGUCUCUGGUAGUGGAAGAGUUUAUCAUUCUUUUUGAACUUUUUGAACUUGUAUAAGAAUCAAUGGAAUUCUCAUGGAGCAUUGAGUACCCAAAAUUUACAAGUUAUAUGAAGUGGUGGUGUCCUUUUGUUGCAUAUGCUGGAGUUUAGCGGUUAGUGUUCAUCUAUGUUUGUUGAACCGUUUGAUUUAUCACUUCAAUCGACAAAAUCUCAUAAACAGACAUGACAAUUGCGAGAGACGUCUUUGAACUGGCACUUUGGUGAUGAUGGUGCUCCUUCGUGUCGACUGUAUUUACUUGUUUGAGGAAGAAUCAUUUAUGAUAUUUUAUGAUAUUGGAGAAGUGAAUAUGUAUGGAAGGUUCCUUGGAUUCACAAGAAUAAAACCACUCGUGAUCCUGGAUCCACUCAUUGAAGAAAUGGAGAGAGAGAAUUUCCACAUGGACGAUGUGAAUGGGUCGUUGCUAAGCUUCUCGGCUGUUUGUUGAAUUUGAUUUGCAUAAUGGGUUGAAGCUAGCAUUUUAGUAGUGCUGGAAUUCCAAAACUGAGACGAACUGAAGAAUUUGAUGUUAAGUAUCUAAGCAAUGCCCACAAUUAGUAACAUGUUCUGAGCUAAUCAAGGUUUGUCAUCUGAGUAUAUCGCCAAGUAGUGCAUAACUUAGUCCUUUUUAGAGUAAUGCAUCAUUUAGUUAGAAAUUCGAGCAUGUUUAGAUUAGUACUUAGCUCAUGUGGGUUACUGUCUCGGGCUUAGCUCGAGAAUUCCAGCACAUUAUGACUGGAUGUAUAACCUUCCACAUCAUACAAAACCACAUAUCAGACGAACCCAAAGAUUUUCCGUUGUUCCACAAAUUAAGCAGGCUGGCACUUUAUCUUGCUGCUGGCAUAGUCGGCAAACCUGAUAAAGAACAGAACCAAAAUCUUAUUCACAAUCAGUUCAAAGAUGGGCACCCCUGAUGAUGUCGCAGUACGUAACCACAUUUCCGAUAAAGUUAAUCCUUGCAGUCAAUCAAGUAUGUGCCAUACUUGAAAUCUUUAGCAAUGUAAUUGAACCUUCCAAGAAAAUCAAAGGAAGACCCUUGGCACGGCACCAGCCUGGGGUAAUGUUGUAUUGACUUAUUUUAAACAUAAAGAUUGAAGAAUCAAGCGAAUGUGCACAUGUCCAUCAACGUAUGUCUUACAGGGCAUUUUUUUCAUCUUCAUAUAUAUAUUCGAGUUCAAAGGUACAUUUUUGCUACAAAUUCAUGUGGAUAGAGCGCAAUCACAAUUAAGUAGAAUAUCACUUGAAAUGUAAAAUAUAACCAUGCACCAUCUUAAUUAAGAGCCUGGAGAAGUUUAAGGUGAGGUGAGUAUAUAAGUUUAACACAUAAACUCAAUAUUUUAUGUUUGGACAGUGCUAUUACUUUCGUCACCAUUUGACUCACAAGAAAUAUGACGUAGAAGUGACAGGACCAUCAAAUCUAAUAACCAUGAUGAGACACUGCAAAUAUUCUCAUGUGAGAGUAUGAGAAACAACAGAAAAACAAGUCCAAGAAGCCACACAUUGACAUAUUCCAAAUCACCAAAGAAAUGUCAUAAUAAUUUAAAAAGAAAUCCAAAACUUUGUAAGCAAGAUAGAGUAAAGAUCUAACAUAAGCCUGAAUGAAAAAAAAAAGAUUUUUUUUUUUAUAUACUUUUCAUCCCUGUACUGCCACCUUUUUAUGUAAUUAUGUCCAUAUACCUUAAACUUGUCGAAUCAAGUCUUUCUAUAUUUACAAAUUUACUAAUCAAGACCCAACCAAAUUUAAUUGACGUAACCCUCGAAUGAUGCCCCAAUAUGAUGCAAAUGCUCACGUAGACAUAUGUGGAAAAAUUUAGCCAAUGUAGACAAUGUUAGAAUGUGACAUGGAUAAAAUUUAGCUAAGGUGUUAGUCAAAGUAACGUCCAUAUUGGAGAUUUUUUUAUCUAUGUCACACACUGACAUCAUUUGAUGAUUACGCCAACUGGAUCUGGCAGGAUUUUGUGUUUAUUGGGAUUUGAUUAGAAAAAUUUGUUAAAUUUGAAUGACUUGACUCGACAAAAUAAAAGUACGAUGGAGAGAACAGUAAAGUAGGGAAUAUUUCAAAAAACCAACCGCAAAUCCAGUCAGCAAAUAUCAGCAAAAGAUAGUGGCAGUUGCUGAGAAAUUAUGGUCUAAACUACUCUUAUCUGCACCAGCAAAAGAAAGCCUCACCUGACAAGACAACUAAGUCUAUUUUGUACCACAUGAGCAAUGAAUGGAAUGGUCACUCUUGAGUACUCAAAAUUCCGCUGGUGUGUGGGUCCGAUCUCAACGACAUCAAAAGCCAAGAAAAGGUCGCGACUGUGAACAUGUCUAUAAACUUAGUCUCAUUUUAUCAUAUGCUUUGACAGGGAACAAAAUUUCUAAGCCAAACUAGCAGCUGUGAGGGAAAUAUAUUCAGCAAGGGAUGUUGACACCUAAAAUUUGAUGAUCUAGUUAAUUAUUCAUUGCAAAAAUUAAGUAAAAUUGAGGAUUGAUCCCGGUCCCUAAAAAGAUAUUAGCUAAGUUGCAUAUACAUAUUAGAAGCAUUUUUCAUUCAUUAAAUAGUAAGCCCACAUAUGAUUACACUUCGAUUGGACUGGUGUAAGGAGAUUAUGAGCUUAAUUGAGUUUAUUAGACUAAGCCCAUGAGAAUGAGAAAUUCGGCCUAACCCGUCUAUUUCCUUUGCUCGACCAGACAUCAAAUAUGCAGUAUAAGGAAUUUAGCACGAAUGAAGGAGCAAAUAUUCGUUAUUAAGGAAUAUAUUCUGAAUAAUUUUUUGGGAGAAUUAACUGGCCAAUUCUUUCCAUUAUUAAAGAUGCGCAUCAUGCUUAAAGUAGGCAAGUUAAUUUUUCUUAGUCAAAUCUGGAAGUAAUUGAACACUAUUUGAAAGGAUAAAAACAAAAAUAGAAAAAUAAAAAGGAAUAAAACAGGGAAAAAGUACAAAAAAAGUCAUAAACUAUUGCAUCGAUAUCAAUUCAAUUCUAAAAUUUUCAAUUAAAUCAAUUAAAUCAUAAAUUUUUUCACAUUGGUACUAAUUUAGUCAAUUUGACCAAUUUUGGUCGGCUAGUGGCCAGAUGUUGACGUAGCAAUUUUUAAAUAAUUUUUUUGAAUUUUUUUAUUAAUUUUUCCUUCUUCUUUUUUUCCCUUUUCCUUUUCUCUCUUCUUCCACCUUAAACUAUACUCACGGUGGCCAGCAAACCUUUGGUGAGGCUCGCCAACCAUUGGGCGAGGGCCGUGAAGCCCUUGUCGGCCGCUAGUGAGGGUCGUGGCCUUCGCUUAGCCUUGCCCAAGGCCGCGAGCGAGGCUACUUUGCCUAGGUCCAGGUGAGACCAGCCUCGCCCUAGCCUUGCCUUAGGCGAAGGCGGCCUCGCCCGUGGUUGGCAAGGCCAUGGCGGCCAUCGCCAAGGCCUAAGCAAAGGUCACCAUGUCCUCACCUGCAGCCCCGGGCGAGGGUGUGACCCUCCCUGGCAACUGGCCAGUGCUUCGCGGCCCUUGCCUAGUGGUUGGCGAGCCUUGUGGGAGGCUUGCUGACCACCGCGAGUAUAGUUCAAGGAGGAAGAAGAGAGAAAAGAAAAGGAAAAAGGAAAAGGGAAAAAAGGAAAAAGAAAAGGAAAGGAAAAGGAAUUAUUAUAAAAGAUUAAAAAAAUUAUUAAAAAUUGUCACAUCAUUGUCUGGUUAGCGUCCACAUCAGUGUCGGCUUGCCAAAAUUAGCCAGAUGGAAUGAAUUGGUACCAAUAUGAAAAUGUUUAAGACUAAAUUGAUUCAAAUGAAAAAGUUUAGGACUAAAUUGGUACAAAUGCAAUAAGUUUAUGAUUUUUUUGGUACUUUUCCCAAGAAAAUGGUGAAGAAAGAAAGAGAAUGAAGGAGCAGAGGACGCCGACAAAGAGGAAGAGGAGGGAGCGAAGCCAAUGGUAGCGUGGGAGGAGCUAGGGUUGGAGGCGGCGGCGGUGACGAAAGGGAGGGGGUGAAGGAGAAGGAGAGAGGGGAGGAGGAGUUAGGGUUUACGGUCACAAGCAAAGAAAGAAAAGAGAAAACAAGAAAAAAGAAAGGAAAAGAGAAAACAAGAAAAAGAAAAAAAGAGAGAAAGAAAUAAGAAAAAAAAUAUAAUAUUAACAAAUUCAAAAUUUUUAGUUAGUAAAAUUUUUAGGAAUAAAUUUUUCAUUAUCUAAGGACUUUAAAACAUUUUGGAAAAUGUUUUCCAAUUCUUUCAAAUAGAAAUCGUUUUUAUGAAUUUAAGCUUUGGAGGGAAAACCUAUUCUAUUGAUUAGGAAAAUAGUUUAUGUUAACUUAUUUUCCUAAGUGAAUCAAACACUGGUAAAUGAGGAAAACGCUUAUUUAGGAAAUUGUUUUUCGCAAAACAAACACACCCUUCACUGUGUUCCCAAACACCUAGGGAGCUAUAGGACAUUAGUGUUCGCCGACACAUUUUCUAGGAUUGCCUUUUCCACAUUUUAUUUUUCAAAUUUCCAUGUUCUUUAACAAUAUUUCGGAAAAUGAAUGAUACAUGGGGGGAAAUUAGGAAUUCAACAUGAAACGUUGCAAACUAUUAAUUUGGAGGAGAGAGAUAAAAAUGAUUAGAUGGAGUGUAAAGACUGGAUAAUCUUUAAAUAUGAUGCAGCAUGGAGAAAUCUAAUUUGAGAAAAUUAUUUCGAAAGAGAUUUAUUUUGAGAGCUACUUUCUCGGUCAAAUCUCUUUUGAAAAAAGUAAUGCGUCCCGCACACUUUUAAUAACAAUAUCCUAUAUAAUCCCACGAUUGAUAUGCUUUUGUUAUCGACUCAUGUUCAUUAGCAGCUUCGACCAAAAAAAUGAAGAAGAAGAAAAAAAAAUGUACAUUAGCAACAGGAGAAGGUGAUUGUCGGUAACCACUGGGAGUUCGCCCCAAUGACCACUCUUCCAACUUGGAAGGGGGAUGUUGGGAGUUCAAAUUCCUAACUUCGCGGGGGGAUUGGGGUGGGGAUGAUUUCAUUUCAAGAAUGGAUUUCGACUCCCACGUCCUGCAAUGAGGCAGGGCAAAAGUCUGAAAGUGAGUGUUAGAGUAAGAUUAUAGUAGGAUCGAAAAAAAGAAAAAAGAUGACUGUUGGUCGUUAGUUGUCUUUUUCUAUUCUGUCUAGUAAUACAAAAGGCUAGCCAAGUCAGACAAUGCUGGAGGAUCUCAAAUCUCAAUGAAAGCACAUGCAUGCACCAUCCUCGUAUAAUGCUGAGGAUCGGCGGAGAUCACAGCUGGCGCACGUGAGUAUUGCUCGUUGGUUCUCUUUUCUAUUUUCUUUCGUUAAUAUCGAAAGGCAAGUCAAGUCAAUCCGUACUGGAUCUCAAAUUUUGAUCAAAGCACCAGGCACGUGAUUGCAUGUGAGUAAUUGCUCGUUGGGUUCCGCACACAUUCCGCAAGAUGCUGCGGAAACUUCGCGUGCAAUGACUGUUCUUUCCGCGGCAUGUUUCGCUGCGGUUCGAUUAGCAUGAAGAGACUUCGACCGUUGGAUAGCUAGGCCCCAACAUUAUAUGCUUUGCACAAAUAGCCCCGGUCGAUCUUUUCAUGCGUCAACAAUUUUUAUCUAAUUAAUUUGACUAACCCAUAUAUAUAUAUAUAUAUAUCCGGAUGGAGAGGAAAUCCUAUUCAGGUAGAUAAAUUUCCACCGUAUAAUUCUAAUAAUGGAAAUUUGGUUCAUUCACUCUAAAUAUUUUGCCUUCCAUACCCAAAAUUUAGGACCUCACUAAUUUCAUCCUUUGCACUUCUAUAUCCUCAAGAAACUUUGAGCCUGCAUACAUCUUUUCUCUUGACAAUGUAAAUGGUUUAUAAAAUUUUUUUAGCCCUGAUUACAUCCUAGAUUGCAGUUUGUUUUAGGGAGGGUUUUAUCCGUUGAGCACACGCACUGAUUAGUAAAAGCAUCGCCAGGAGAAAAAAAUGAACUUUAUGGUUCUUCCCUAAACUUUAAUUUGCUUUCUCUUCGCUAGUUAAUCUUUCCUAUGUGCAUAUACUUGCUUCGUUCUUCCAUAACGAAACAUGUAAUUGGUAAAUUGUCGAACUUGUGAACUACAAUAUCCACUAUUUUAUCAAGUCUCAUUUUUUUUUUCCAUUUUUAAUUUGAGGUAGUACAUUAAACAUGCUAACAAAAUAGAAUCUAAAUAGGAAACAAAAAUAAAAAUAAAACAAUUGGCUAUGGUGCAAUAUUAUAUAGCAAUAUAAUUGGUCUAGGUCGUGAUAUUGUAGUGUAGUUGGUUUAUAAUAUCCAAUCACUAAUGACAAACGACUAUAACAAGUACAUAGAUCUUUUUCUUUUCCAUUUUUUUAAUUGAUAUGAGAAGGAAAAUAUAUUUAUAGGAUUAUAAAUAUUAAGAGAGAGAAUAGAUCUUGCAUUGCCAACAAAGCAACAUGGCAAAAAAGUUGUAUAAUACCUUAAGAUUGCUUCAUUUGCAGUACCUUUAUUAAAGAUAUAUAAAGUUGUAUAAUACCAAUGGCUAAGAUAUUAAGUGUAAUACUCAAAUAUAACCUUGUUUAAGAGAUAAUGACGACAAAGACAGCGAUAAAUAUGCCCUAUCCAAUAAGUAACUCACCGAUAAAAUACGAUAAAACCCAACUCGCCCUCGAGUGCUGUCGGAAUAUUAUUGCAAAUACAUCCAUGAAGCCAUCGAUAGAAGACACGUACUUGCAAAUACAUCCAUGGUCCAUAUUUGAAAUUCAGCACUCAAAAUUUUUAGUGAUUAUUUUUCAGUUUUAUCUUAACGGCACGUACUCGCAGCUUAUUUUUCACAAACGAAUUUAAGUUCAGCAUUGGCAAAAAAAAAAAAAAAAAAAAACAAGUUGAGUCGAGUUGAAAGUCGAGUUAUAGUACAUAAGCUUUGACUCAAAAUUACCAGUGCAAUCGUUUACUUUAAGUAGUUAGAGUACAAUGUUGAAUAUAUUUUGUCUUAACAGUUCAUUUGGUUUAACUUCUAGCUUUUUCUUGACGAUAAAGCAAGAAUUAGGUACAUAAAUUCACAAAUCAAUAAAUAAUCCACUAAUGCAAAGGAUCACACAAGACACAGGUCCCUAGUUAUGAAACCAUUUUAUGCUUACAAACGCGAGGAACCAAACACACGUCAUGUAUCUAGUUUCCAUACACUAAUUUUUGCUUUCCUUUCUCUUGCAACUCACACAGUUGAACUUUUGUUUAACAUAAAUAACUUAAAAGAUUCAAAAUGUGUAAAUACAGUCACGUAGAUAAUUAUACAAAUCUUUUUGUAAUUAACUUAAAUUAUAUAUUAAUUUUUUAAAUGUUAAACAUUUAUUAUGUUAUACCAAAAUUAUCUUGAAAGAGGUAAUACACCAGGCCAAAGUAAGGAGCCACCUCAGUUACCGUCGAGUCCACGUCCGUGUGGCCAUGCAGCGUUGUCGUCGAGGUCCGAGGGGCGAUGGAUAUUCCUGUCUCCUUUUUCAAAAGCCGAAGUAAUCACUCCGAAAGUCCAACCCCCAUGUCGCCUCGGUUGGGAAGUACACAGGAACUCGCUCGGUCCGCGCGCCACGUGAGGUCGAGGGGCAAGUCGGAGUGGCAGAAGAUAUCCUCGAGGUCCGAGGCGGGGACCCCGCUUAGGCUUCGGUUUCAGAGCAGCUGACCGUCGUAGCGGUCAAACAAGUACGUGCCGCACUUGAAAUCUCUAGCAACGUAAUUGAACCUUGCAAUAAAAUCAAAGGAAGAACCUCGGCGCAUCACCAGCAUAGGAGACCACCAUAUUGACUUCAUUUAAAAAGAAAGAACGACGAAUCAAGCAAAAGUUAGUAUGUACAUAUCCAUCUAUGCAUCUCUUACGGGGCGCUUUUUCAUCUUUUAAUAUAGACUCGAGUUCAAAGGUAAUUUUUUGCUACAAAUUCACAUGAAAAUAGCAUAAUUACAAUCAGUAGAAUAUCACUUGAAAUGUAAAAUAUGACCAUGCACCAUCUUAUCUAAGAGCCAAGUUUGAGAAAAGACUACCAAAAACCCUAAACUUUACCAAAAGUGACAAAUUUAUCUCAAACUUUUUUUGUGACGUGAAAAACCUAAAACUUUUCAAAUUGUAACACAUUUACCCAAUCAAGGGCAUUUUUGUCUUAUUUUUUCUCUUUUUUUUUUCUUCUUCUUCCCUCUACUGGCUAUGGUGGAGGGAAGCUGGCAUCCCGGCGAGGGCUGCCCUUAUCGACGUUGGGCUAGCUCAUGCGAGGGUCGUCUCGCCCUGGGGCUUGGCUANNNNNNNNNNNNNNNNNNNNNNNNNNNNNNNNNNNNNNNNNNNNNNNNNNNNNNNNNNNNNNNNNNNNNNNNNNNNNNNNNNNNNNNNNNNNNNNNNNNNNNNNNNNNNNNNNNNNNNNNNNNNNNNNNNNNNNNNNNNNNNNNNNNNNNNNNNNNNNNNNNNNNNNNNNNNNNNNNNNNNNNNNNNNNNNNNNNNNNNNNNNNNNNNNNNNNNNNNNNNNNNNNNNNNNNNNNNNNNNNNNNNNNNNNNNNNNNNNNNNNNNNNNNNNNNNNNNNNNNNNNNNNNNNNNNNNNNNNNNNNNNNNNNNNNNNNNNNNNNNNNNNNNNNNNNNNNNNNNNNNNNNNNNNNNNNNNNNNNNNNNNNNNNNNNNNNNNNNNNNNNNNNNNNNNNNNNNNNNNNNNNNNNNNNNNNNNNNNNNNNNNNNNNNNNNNNNNNNNNNNNNNNNNNNNNNNNNNNNNNNNNNNNNNNNNNNNNNNNNNNNNNNNNNNNNNNNNNNNNNNNNNNNNNNNNNNNNNNNNNNNNNNNNNNNNNNNNNNNNNNNNNNNNNNNNNNNNNNNNNNNNNNNNNNNNNNNNNNNNNNNNNNNNNNNNNNNNNNNNNNNNNNNNNNNNNNNNNNNNNNNNNNNNNNNNNNNNNNNNNNNNNNNNNNNNNNNNNNNNNNNNNNNNNNNNNNNNNNNNNNNNNNNNNNNNNNNNNNNNNNNNNNNNNNNNNNNNNNNNNNNNNNNNNNNNNNNNNNNNNNNNNNNNNNNNNNNNNNNNNNNNNNNNNNNNNNNNNNNNNNNNNNNNNNNNNNNNNNNNNNNNNNNNNNNNNNNNNNNNNNNNNNUGGCUUCCUUUCACGGAUUCCGCCAUGGCCGGCAGGGGGAAGAGAGAAGAAAAAAAAAAAGAAAAAGAAAAGUAAAAAGACCAAAAUGCCCUUUAGUUUAUGAUAAAUGUGUCACACGACAGAAGUUUAGGAUUUUUUAUAUCACAAAAGAAAGUUUGGGAUAAAUGUGUCACGGUUGGCAAAAUUCAUGAUUUUUAAAAUCACAAAAAAAAGUUUGGGGGUAAAUCUGUCACUUUGGACAAAGUUUAGGGUUUUUCGUGAUUUUUUCCAGCCAAGUUUAAGGUCUAAGAUCAGCAUUUUGAUAUCAUUACGAUCAUCUUAUAAGCAGUAAGCAUUCAAGUAGCAUUCAAGUAGCAUUCAAGUUUAAUACAUAAACUUGAUAUUUUAUGUUUGGACAUUGCUAUUACUUUUUUUUUUUUGGUAAGGUAACAUUGCUAUUACUUUUGUCACUAUUUGACUCACAAGAAAUUUAACAUAGGGAAAUUUAACAUAGGAGUGAUAGGACCAUUAGCCCUAAUAACCAUGAUGAGACACUGCAAAUAUUCUUGUGUCAGAGUAUGAGAAACAACAUAAAAAUAAGUCCAAGAAGCCACACUUUUGACCUAUUCCAAAUCACCAGAGAAAUAUCAUAAUUAAUUAAAAGAAAUCCAGAGCUUUGUAAGCACGGUGAAGUAAAGAUCCAGCAUAAGCCUGAAAGACAAAAUUAAGUUUUUUUUGGGUACUUUCAUCCCUAUACUUUCACUUUUUUCUCUCAUUAUGUCCCCAUACCUUAAACUUUUCUAAUCAAUUUAUUUUGCUUUCACAAAUUUCCUAAUCAAGACCCAACCAACCUUAGCUUAUGUAACCGUCAAAUAAUGCCCCAGUACGAUGCGGAUAACUUAUGUGGAUGCCCACGUAGUCAUGUAUGGAAAAAUUUAUCCAAUAUAGACAAUGUCAGAACGUGACAUGGAUAAAAUUUAGUUAAGGUGUAUGCCAAAGUAUAUGUCUAUAUUGGAAAAUUUUUGUUUACGUCACACAACAAUAUCAGUUGACAGUAAUGCCAGCUGGAUUUGGUCGAGUUUUGUGUUAGAGGGAUUUGAUUGGAAAAUUUAUGAAAUUUCAAAGAACUUGUUAGUAAAAUUACGGUAGAGAAAACGUGAAAGUAGAGGAUAAGAAGAAGACUGAUUUCGAAAAACCAACAGCUAAUCCACAGUCAGCAGAAGAAUGCCUUACCUGACAAGAUAAGUAGGUCUACUUUGUACCACGUGAGCAAUGAAUGGAAUGGUUACACUACAUCCUCACAAUUCCACUGGUAUCUGGGUCCAAUCUCAAGGACAUCAAAAGCCAUGAAAAGAUCACAACUGUGAACAUCUCUCUAUGAACUUGUCUCAUCAUAUGCGUCAAGAGGGAAUAAAAUCUUUAAGCCAAACUAGUAGUUGUGAGGAAAAUAUAAUCAGCAAUUAAUGUUGACACAUAAAUUUUGACUACCCAAUUAGUUAUUUAUCGCAUAGAAAAAUUAAAAAAUCGACCUCGUCCCCUAAAAAAAAUAUUAGUUAAAUUACAUAUAGAUAUUAGGAGCAUUUUUCAUUCAUUAAUAGUAAGUCCACAUAUAAUUACAUUUUGAUUGGACUGGUGCAAGGAGAUUUUGAGCGUAAUCGAGUUAAUUGGACUAAGCCCGUGGGAAUGAGAAAUUCAGCCUAAUCCAUUUAUUUCCUUUGCUCGACCAGACAUCAAAUAUGCAGCACAAGGACUUCAGCACGAAUGAAGCAGCAAAUAUUCGUUAUUGAGAAAUAUAUUCUGAACCUUUUUUUGGGAAAAUUAACUGACUAAUUCUUUUCAUUAUUAAAGAUGCACGUCAUGCUUAAAGUAGGCAAGUUAAUUUUUCUUAGUCAAAACUGGAAGUAAUUGAACACUAUUUGAAAGGAAAGAAACAAAAAUAGAAAAAGAAAAAGGAAGAAAACGGGGAAGAAAGAAAGAAAUUCACGGCCCGAGCAUGAUAGACCAGAGAAUAAUGUAUGCACUCACAAGAGGAAAGUGGAAUUCGGCCAGCCCAAAAGGAGUUCUCGCCAAGUAUAAAGAGAUAACACUGCAACACGUAAAAGAGGAGACAAAGGAGGGAGACAAAAUGUUCGAUAAAUUCACGUUCGCAAUUAACGAGAAGUGUGAGCAAUACAUAAAAGAGAACUCAAGUUUUUUCUGUGCCUCGAAAAGCUAGCCCCUACGCAGUAAGUGUGUCUAUGUUUUGACGUUACGAUUGGGAGAAAACAUGUGCGUUCAAUGACAUUGGAGAUUGAUUUACAUGUCUCAAAGUCAUUAGUUGGAAUUAAAAGUGGACUGUAAAUGCAUGUGAAGAUAUUCGAAAAGUACACUUGUAAUAGGUGGAGACGAUAUUUGGGGCACUCAUGAAAAAAAAUGGAUUGAACGGGCCAAAAUAUUUUAGAUAUUUAUAGCAUAAGUUUUGUCAUAUUGAUGCAUUUCGUUAAACAAUUUUUUUAAUCUUGAGGAGAAGCUUCUAUUGCAUUCAUUUAUAGUUUAAGAACUAUAGAUGGACGUAAAUGAUCAACGGCACAUUUUCUAGGGUCGCAUCUUCCACAUAUUUUCAAAUUUCCACACCUUUAAAAAUAUUUUGGAAAAUGAAUGAAAAAUAGGAGGGAAGUUAGGAAUUCAACAUGAAGCGUUAAAAACUAUUAACUUAAGGAGAGAGAUAAAAGUGACUUAAGCAGAGGGUAAAGACCGGAUAAAACAUGAUAUAGCGUAGAGAAAUCUGGUUUGAGAAAAUUAUGUCGGAAGAGAUUAAUUUUCAGAGUUACUUUCCCAGACGAAUCUCUUUUGAUAAAAGUAAUUCGUCCUGCAGGCAUUUGAAUAACGAAAUCCUAUAUACCACGCUUGAUAUGAUUUUGUCAUUGACUCAUGUACAUUGGCAGCGGGAGCAUGCGACUGUCGGUCGUUAGUUUUCUUUUUCUGUUCUGUUUACUAAUAGAAAAGGCAAGCCAAAUCAAGACAAUGCUGCAGGAUCUCAAAUCUGAAUGAACGCACCUGCAUGCACCUCCCUUGUAUGAAGCUGAGAAUCGGUGGAAAUCACAGCUGGAGCACGUGAGUAUUGCUCCUUAGCUUUCUUUUCCAUUUUCUUUCGUUAAUAUAAAAGUCUAUUUACUUUCAUUAAUAUGAACGGCAAGCCGUGCGGGAUCUCGACUUUUGACCAAAGCACCGGGAGCAAGUGAGUGUUGCACGUGAUUGCAUGUGCGCACGUGAGUAUUUAUUUUGGCUCUUUCGGUUCCGCGCUCCUUCCACUAAAUGCUGCGGAAACUAUGCAUGCAAAGAUUGUUCUUUCAGCGGCAUGCCUCGCAGUGGUUCGAUUAGCACGAAGAGUCUUGGACCGUUGGAUGGCAAGAACUCAGCAUUAUGUGAUUUGCACAAAUAGCCCCGGUCAAUCUUUCUAUGCUUCAACAAUUUUUUUCUAAAUAAUUUGACAACCCAUUCAUAUAUAUAUAUAUUUCCAGAUGCAGAGAAACCCUACCUACUUAGACAAAUUUCCAUUGUAUCAUUCUAAUAAUGGAAGUUUGGUUCAUUCACUCUGAAUAUUUUUCCUUCCAUGCAAGUAAAAGUCUAAGACCUUACUAAUUUCAUCAUUGCUACUUUGAACAAACGUUUCUCUUUUCUCUGGAUAAAUUUCUUUUGCCUCGAUUAUAUCCUGGAUUCCAACUAUUUUUUUUUUUUUUAAAGGAGGGAAUUAUCCAUGGAGGACGCACACUAAUUUGUAGAGGCACCAUUAGGAGAAAAGAAUAAACUUUAUGAUGUGAAAAAAAUUACAUUUUAUAUUCUUCCCUAAAUUUUAAUUUGUUUUCUCUUUGCUAUUUAAUCUUUAUUAUAUGUAUACUUGUUUAUUUCUUCCAUAACGAAACAUAUAGCUGCUAAUCUAUCAUCCUUGUGAGACACAAUGCCCACUAUUUUAUCACGUCUCAUUUUUUUUCAUCUGUAAUUUGAGGUAGUACAUUGUUAAGAGACGAAGGAAAACGAAAGGCCCAUGUGUACUCUACUAUCGGUAGAAUAUAUUUUCCACGCCCCGAUUUUACAAUCAAGACGUGCUGCACCCCAAUUUUCAAUCAAAGCACGUUGCAUAAGUAGGAUCCACACACCUUCCGCAUAAUGCUGCAGAAAUUAAUUAUUAUCGAACAACCUUUUCUUUCAUUUUAAGUCCUUAAAAUGGUCCAUAUUUGAAAUACAGUACUCGAAAUUUCGGUAAUUAUUUUUCAGUUUUUUCUAAACGGGCUCAUACUCGCAGCUGAUUUUUCACAAAUGAAUUUAAGUUCAGCAUCAGCAAAAAGACAAGUUGAGUCAAGUGGAAAGUUGAGUUAUAGCACCCAAGGUUUGACUUGAAAUUACCUAUGUAAUCAUUUACUUUAAGCCGUUAGAGUACAGUGUUGAAUAUAAUUUACAUCAUAGCAAUUUAUUUGGUUCGACUUCUAGCUUUUUGUUAACGACGAACACAAAUCAGAUACGUAAUUCACAGGUCAACAAAUUCUCCACUAAUGCAAAGUAUCAAGCUAGACACAAGUCUCAUAUACGAAACAGUUUAUGCUUGCAAAUAUGGCGGACCAAACACACGUUGUGUACCUAGUCUCCAUCUACUAAUUUUUACUUUCUAUUCCCUUGCGACUCUCAUAGUCAAACUUUUUUUUUUUUAUAACAAAGAUCACUUAAAAGAUUCAAAAUAUGCAAAUACUAUCACGUAGAUAAUUAUAUAAUUAUAUUUUUAAUUUAACUUAAAGAAUAUACAUAUUUUAAAUCUUUCAAAUGUAAAAAAUCAAUUAUACUUUUAAGUGCAGUCUAAAUUUUUAUCGAAGGGUUGCAUACCAAAAUUAUCUUUUAUUUUGAAAGAAGUAAAGCACCUCAUUAGUCAUUAGAGAAAAAGGCCAAAGCAUGGAGCCACCUCAGCUAGCGCUGUCGGGGACCCGUCUCCUUUUUCAAAAGCCAAAAGAAAUUGCCCCGAACGUCAAACCCGCCCACUCGCCUCGGUCAGGGAGAGCACGGAAACUCGCUCGGACCGCGCGCCACGUGAGCUCGAGGGGGGCAAUUCGGUACAUUCCGAGUGGCCGAAGAUAUCCUCGAGAUGCGAGGUGGGGACCACACAUUGGCUUUGGUUUCUGAGCAGCUGACCGGCGUAGCGGUCGAGCAACGCGAACACGGAGAGGAGGAGCGGCGUGGGUCCGCGUGAAGAGACAACCUAAGCAGAAUCUUUUUUUUUGGUCGAAGCCUAAGCAGAAUCCACACGGCAAAUUUCUACUCUGUUUUCGUGGAUAAAAGGGUCUCGAACAGUUGGACGGCAAUAACUCAGCAUCGUUCGAGCAAGCGCGGGAGAGAGUGUUAAGCGUAGUUAAUCCGAGGUUGAAGGCUGAGAACCGGCAGAGUUCACAGCAGUAGGUGAAUUGUGUUGUUUGAGCACUCUUCAGGUAAUCGAUUGCUCCAUUUUCUUUUGAUGAGUUUCGAUUUGAGUUCUUGGAGACAUUUUUGCAUUCCGAGAUUUGGACUGUGAAAUCUAGACUUUUUUUCUUCAAGGCUCUGCUCGAUCGAUGUCCUAUUUGGUCAAUUAGACUUCAUUUCUGUUUGAAUUUAGCUACGAAAUGAGCUCUGACAGACAUUUCGGCAAUUCCCGAAUCCGGGAUUCCGUAUUUCUCUUUGUUUUCUGCUUUUCUUCGAGGCUCUGCUCCAUCGAUCUCUUCCAUUCCCUUUAUAGGUGAUUACAAAGGCGGAGCCUAAAAGAUUCGAUAUGUGGGGACAUUCAGAAGAUCCGAAUUGUGGGGCUUCUUCCUCAUCGACUUCACCGCAUGUAGGUGAUUAUGAAGGCAGAACCAAAAAGAUGAAAAGAAAUGACUACGAAGUGUUCUUGAGCUUUAGAGGGAAGGAUACUCGUAAUGGCUUCACCGAUUAUCUAUAUACUAGUCUUGUUGAUGCAGGAAUUCAUGUGUUCAGAGAUGACAAUGAGCUUUGUGUUGGUGAGGAGAUUGGACCGGAACUUUUCCGCAGUAUUACACAAUCUAAGAUCUCCAUCCCGAUUAUCUCAGAGGACUAUGCAUCCAGCAAAUGGUGCCUUCGCGAGUUGGCUCUUAUGUUGAAUUGCAAGAGAAACAAAGGGCAAAUGGUGUUACCCAUAUUUUACAAAGUGGAACCUUGGCAAGUGAAGCAUCUCACAGGGAGAUUUGGAGAUGCUAUCAAUACACAUAAAAAGAAUUUGGAAGAAAAGAUUGUGAAGGAAUGGGAAGAAGCACUCAAAGAAGUCACUUCCUUGAAAGGAUUGGAAUCGGAGAAAAUUGAUAAUGGGUACAUUAUUCUCCACCACAACAUUGUUUACUUUCUCAUAACUAGAUCUUACUUGAAAAAUAAUACAAAUAUUUCCAUCAUAUAUUGAAAUUUUUAUUGUUGUUCGACAGGCGUGAAGGAACAUUGGUUAAAAUAGUUGUCAGAAAAGUUAUGAGUAACUUAAAGGAAUUGUUUUUGCUAAAUGUUCCCAAACAGUUGGUGGGAAUUGAUGAUCGUGUGGAGCGUAUUAUGCACUUCAUAAAUGCUAAAUUUAGUGAUACAAGUAUUAUCGGAAUCUAUGGAAUGGGCGGCAUCGGUAAGACAACCCUUGCGAAGGUGUUGUACAACAAGCUUUUGAGUCAUUAUGAGUCUCAUAGCUUUGUGGCAGAUAUUCGAGAAAAAUUUAAGCUCAAGGGUCUUGAAUGCAUACAAAAGCAGCUCAUUUAUGACAUUAGUGGAGGCUUAUGUGAUGUGUCUAAUGUCGAUCACGGAAUCAAUAUCCUUAAAUCUCGAUGUAUAAAUAAGAAAGUUCUCAUUCUUCUUGAUGACAUGGAUGAUAAUACUCCCUUGAAUGCUUUGGUUGAAGACGGUAGUUGGUUUAAAGCUGGAAGUACGGUCAUCAUCACCACUAGAGACAAGAGUAUUCUUGACAAGGUUGGGGUAAGAUACAAGUAUCAACUCAAUGAGUUGCUUUCAUAUCAAUCAUUGGUUUUAUUUAGCAGACAUGCAUUUCGAACGGAUUCUCCUCCGAGUGAUUAUUGGGUUAUCUCUCGUGAUAUCGUAUCUACUACUGGGGGGCUUCCUUUAGCUCUUGAAGUUAUUGGUUCAUUCUUAUGUGGAAAGACAAAAGAAGCAUGGAAAGCUACAUCAAAAAAAUUAGAGAAAGUGCCUAAUAAGAAAGUGCAAGAGAAGUUGAGAAUAAGUUACGACGCAUUAGAUUUUGAGGACCAGCAGAUUUUUUUGGAUAUUGCAUGUUUUUUUGUCGGAUCAUCUAUACAAAAUCCGACUUACAUGUGGGAUGCCUGUGGUUUUUUCCCGGGAAAGGGGAUUGAAGUAUUGAAUCUUAUGUCCCUAAUUAAAAUUACUGAUGAUGGCGAGCUAAUGAUGCAUGAUCAGCUGAGAGAUCUUGGAAGGGAAAUUGUUCGUCAAGAAAAUCUAAAGAAGCCUCAAAAGCGUAGCAGAUUGUGGGAAUAUGAGGAUGGCGUAGAUGUGCUUCUCAGCAACAAGGUAAGAGUUUUUCUCCGCUUGUCUUAAUCAUCGAAUGUGAGCACAUCUUCUCUUUCUUGUUUAAGAUAAUAAUUAUAGUCAAUCACGAGUCCCCAAAACUGGCUGCGUCUACUGGCAAGAGGGCACUUUUAAUUAAUUGCUCUUCUUGUCGGACUUUAGGACAAAAUUGAAGAGCAAUUUCUUGGUUAUUAAUAACUAAUAUUUUUAACUAGUAAGAUUGUGAUGAGGAUACUCUCCUUUUGCUAGCUUCAAUAAAAAAACAAAGCUACAAAUUAAUGUUCGAUAGAGCACUUUUAAAGAAAAUCGAAUAUCUAUAAAUUGUUGGGGCCAUGCUUUCCCACAUUUUUGUUUGGUGCACAGGUUGAUGUUUGAAUUCUUAUAUUGAUUUCUUUUGAGGUAUUUUCUUUCUUUUUUCUUUUAACGAGUACCGACUUCUUAAGAGUUUGCUACGAUGAAUGAGACCAUUCAUUAGUGAUGAUUAGCUAUCCCGAUUCUUGAAUUUUUCAAGUUGGGUAAAGUAUAGAUUUAGUCCCUCAAGUAAUACUAUUUGUAAGAUUUAAUCCCCUUUCUAUUUUUUGCUCAAUACCAUUCUCCAUCUUUCACAGUUUGUGCGAUCAAGUCCUUUGUAGUCAACCGUUAAUGAACAUGGUCAAUUUGUUGAUGUGACUUUCAUAUACUAUAAAUAAUAUGGUUAUAAUUAAUAUAAAUCCUAGUUAUAAUUAGAAAUCUAACAUUAAUAGAGUGACUUGGAAAAAAAGACAUGAAUUUUGGGAAUAACUAUUACUACAAGUAAAUAUUGUAAUAGACUAUAAUAGCCAUUACGGUAAUGAAACGUGCUCUAAUAAUCUAAAUGCAUGUAAUAAUACAUUGCUACAUAAUGUGUAUGUAACUAAGGGUUAGUAAAUGUGUACAACUAAACGGUAUAUAUUAUGCGGUAAGAUAUUUAGUUCAAAGUAAGACGUUAGGAAAAAAAAAGUAGAAAUUUUCCAAUAAACGGUAUAUAUUAUGUAUUCCCAAAAAAAUAUAUAUUAAUAAAGAUAUGUUCUCAAUACCAUAAUUAUAAAAAUUUUAAUGUUGAAGUAUUAUCUAAACUAAAUUUUUUGACAUGAUACUUGUUAAACUUGGAAGUUAAAUAUUUCAACCAUACAUACAUGACCUUUUUCUUUAUAUAGAGGAUGAGUGAUGAAGUGACUUUUCAGUUACAACAUUUUUAAAUAUUUAUAGAAGAAUGAUAAUUAAUAAUAAAACUAAACAAUUUCACAACUGUAUGUUGGCACAGAAGUGAUAUUAACAUAAUAUAAUUAUUCUUCAUGUCCAAUCUAUCUCUUAGCAAGAUCUUAUUAAUUUAUGGGCAAAAUUGAUCAUAAAAUUAGAUGACUGUUAUUUCUUUGUAACAAAAUCAACAUGAAAUGAAAAGUUAGCAUCAAACAUAUAUAGUAAUAAAAAGAGAAGUGAAAAUCAUGCAUAUAACUUGUUGAGGAAACACAUGAUAAGAAAGGAAUGCAAAACAUCUGUGUACUUCUUGGGAUGGAAUUCUCAUUUUCAUUUUGCUAUCGAGAAUUGUAAACAAGGUACGAAAGAAAAAGAGGGGAAUUCUACAAUUGAGAUUCUUUAGUAUUGAUACAUGCUUUGACGGUAAAUUUGAUAUAUGCAUUUGAAGUUUUGAACUGUAAGAGACAUGUUGUUUCACAUAUAAAGGAUAUGAGUUAGUUUGUUAUUUCCCAUAUAAAGGGCAUGGAAUUUUGAAGUGAUGUUUGCAUGAAAAGAGGCCUUCUAUAUUAAUUUUGAAAGGAUGGGACUUUGGGGAAUUUAAAAGCUGCAAAUUGUGAAGGGAAUAAUUGGAAGAGGAAAAGUUUGGGAAGACCCUCUUGAGGUUCACAUUUUUACAUUGAUUACCACAACCUGUCAUGUCAUGAAGUCGAAAGUGAGAAGCUUAAAUCAUGAUAGUACGACAACAAAUUUGAAAUCAAUACAUUUUUUCUCAUAUAUAGUUGCUUUCAACCCAUUAUUCAAAACAACAAUUUACAAUGUUGCCUAAUUGCAGGGCACUAGUAAAAUUGAGGCCCUUCGUCUUGACUUAGAUAAUGGGAAAGGAAGUUACAUGGCUGAAACAUUUAAAGAAUUGACCAAAUUGAGGAUACUUCAACUGGAAGGUGUGAAUCUCACUGGACAUUUUCAGAACUUGUUUCCUCAACUAAGAUUGCUUGAGUGGAUGGAUCAUCAACCGGAUUUUGAAUUGACCAACUUUCACCUGAAGAAAUUAGUCGUGCUCGAUUUGUCGUGGAGCAAGAUUUCAGAGAACUGGGGAGGAUGGAGUCAACUAAAGGUAAAAUGUAAAGAAGGCAUAUGUCUUAUAAAUAAUCACGUGUUGUCGAUGGACCCAAUUGCACCAAGUUAUACUUAAUUUCUUCUGAAAAUAUAUAUUAUGGAUUUUCUUCUAAGCAUAAGAGGAAUUCAUAGGCACCUAAAUAUGUCAAAAGCUUCUACCCCUUAAUAUUUUAGCAAACUAGUCAUGCUUAACAUCAGACCUACUAAUAAAAACUUUUUAAAUCGUAUUAAUUAACAUCUAUCAAAAAUAUAAUUACAAUAAUGUGCCCAUGUUAAUUUUAAUCUAAAUGGUUUAUGGCUUCUAGUUAAUUUCUCCCCAUGCAAAAGUAUGUAUUUUUAGCAAUUCUUGUUAUAUGUAUGUAUGUAUCUUCUUUCAUAAAAAUGCAAAGACCCUCACAGUGACUUGUGUUUUACAUACAUACUAAAAUUCUAAAUUCAUUGUUACUUUUAAAGUAAUGGAAAUAAUUUGUGAACUACUUUGACUUGUUGCGCACAAUAAUUAUUCAUUAUUAUUGUUGAUUGUUGAAGUCACCGUAUAACACAUUUAUAAAGUACUAAUGUCAUAUGAGUAAUACAACACUUUUUUAUGUCUCGUACAUAUAGCAUUUAAAAAUUGUUUUUCAUAAUUAAAGUAGCCAUUUCUCUUUAAUUUCAUACUAAUUGAAGGAAAACAUGGCACCAAAUGAAUGCAUCUCAUUUCUUCCAUUUGACUUUGUCAUAUGUAAUUUGAUAAUAAAAUUUGUGUAUCUCUAUUCAAUAAAUAACAACAUAGUCAUAACUUUGAAAAACUAAACAUGACAUUUUCUAAGAAAUUUUAUUUGCGAAAAAUUGUAGAUAGCACUCAUACAUCCCUAACAUUCUCUUUGCAAUGAUAUGCUUAAAAACAUUUAUAUGCUAGCUUGGCGAAUACACUAUUGAAAAGAAACAUUUAAAAUUAAAUUAAAUAGCUGUGUAAAAAUAGGGAGAAUGGGAUUAUUUUUUUUGUCCAAUCUCAAAGUGGUAACCUCUUUCUUUCAGAUAGCAACCGAGCUCAAGGUUCUCAACCUUACGAAUUGUGCUUUAAGAACAACUCCCGACUUGUCCGCUUUCAAGAGUUUGGAGAUUUUGAUACUUGAAGCUUGUGAGGAUCUAGAAGAGAUUCAUCCUUCUAUCGAGGACAUCGAGACCCUUGUCUCCUUGAAUGUCAGUAAUUGUUGGGAGCUGAAGAAGCUACCACUAGGAGUAGGUAGAAUGGAAAAUUUGAGCAAGCUUCUCAUAGAUAACACUAAUAUACGAGAGAUUCCUAUUUCAAGAGGUUGUUUGACAAAGCUGGAGACUCUACAUGCCUCAGAUUGUAGACGGCUUGCUCAACUUCCAGAAUCCUGGGGCUCCCUUAUGUCAUUAACUCAACUAGACCUAAAAAGAACAGAAAUUGAGGAAUUACCCGAAUCCAUUGGAUCAUUAAAGAAGCUCAAGACUCUAAAUACCUCUUAUUGUGCAUUGUUAACUUGCCUACCCAACUCAAUAGGCGAUUUAGCAUCUCUAUGUUGCCUUGACCUAAGAAAUUGCCAAAAGCUUGCUCAACUUCCAAACUCCAUAGGCUCCCUCGUGUCUCUAUUGCAAUUGUUGUUGUCGAGAUGCUACUCGUUGAGACAAAUCCCAGGCUCGAUUGGAAAGUUGACAUCAUUGACUGAGCUGCAUUUGCAAUCUACGGCCAUUGAAGAAUUACCUAAAUCUAUUGGUUCAUUGAAGGAGCUCAAGACUCUAGAUGCCUCUUAUUGCACAUCGUUAGCCCGCAUACCCAACUCAAUAGGCAAGUCACUAUCUUUGUCUCGCCUUGACCUAACAGGAUGCCAUAAACUUGCUCAACUUCCAGACUUUAUAGGCUCCCUUGUAUCUCUACAACAGUUGUUAUUGUCGGGAUGCCACUUGUUGAGACAAAUCCCAAACUCGAUUGGAAAGUUGACAUCAUUGACAGAGCCGCAUUUGAAAUCUACGGCCAUUGAAGAAUUACCUGAAUCCAUUGGUUCUUUGAAGGAGCUCAAGACUCUAGAUGCCUCUUAUUGUGCAUCGUUAGCCCGCAUACCCAACUCAAUAGGCAAUUCAAUAUCUCUGUCUCACAUUGACCUAACAGGAUGUCAUAAACUUGCUCAACUUCCAGACUCUAUAGGCUCCCUCAUGUCUCUACAGUGGUUGUCAUUGUCAGGAUGCCACUCAUUGAGACAAAUCCCAUACUCGAUUGAAAAGUUGACAUCACUGACUGAGCUACAUUUGAAAUUUAAAGUUAUUGAAAGAUUACCUAAAUCCAUUAGUCUUUUUAAGGAGCUCAAGACUCUAGAUGGCUCUUAUCAUGCAUCGUUAGCCUAUAGACCCACUUCAAUAGGCAAUUCAACGUCUCCGUCUUGUCUUGUCCUAACAGAAUGUCAUAAGAUUGCUCAACUUCCAGACUUUAUAGGCUCCCUUGUAUCUCUACAACGGUUGUUAUUGUCAGGAUGCCACUCGUUGAGACAAAUCCCAGACUCGAUCGGAAAGUUGACAUCAUUAACUAAGCUGCAUUUGAAAUCUACGGCCAUUGAAGAAUUACCUGAAUCCAUUGGUUCUUUGAAGGAGCUCAAGACUCUAGAUGUCUCUUAUUGCAAAUUGUUAGCCUGCAUACCCAACUCAAUAGGCAAUUCAACAUCUCUGUCUCGCCUUGACCUAACGGAAUGCCAUAAACUUGCUCAACUUCCAGACUCUAUAGGCUCCCUCGUGUCUC